rnacentral:lncRNA from 1 species
AGGUGCGCAAGGCGGUGGGCGGGCGGGCGGCGUGAAGGCAUGAGAAAAGGGAACACCGGGAGGAAGAAGAAUAGAUCGACGAAGAGAUACGUGCGGAUCAAGACUACGGGAGGCAGAGCAGAGUCGGACGUAAAUUAAUUGCAAAACGCGCACAGCAGAAAAAUUAAGAGGGUAAACGUUAGUUGUUAGAGCUGAUAAGUGGGCCCAAUUGUUUGUUUAUUGUGAGGUAGGAAGGGUCUGUGUACGGUUUGUGGGGGAGAUCUAGAGAUGAAUGUGUUGGUGCCUUUAUAAGUAGUAGAUAUACACACGACGGGGAACACCACGGGUACCUGUUGUAACAUCCCAAACUUUCAAAUCCUUUCAUAUGCAUUGCAUCCAUGAGCAUCAUGCCACAAUUACAUAUUUGAAUUGAAAUUUUGAAUCUCAAAAGACUUUGGAAAGGUUUUAUUUCAAUUUCAAACCCUAGUGUUUACACCCAUUUGAGCUUUGAAUCUUCAAACCAAUAGGGUUUAUUUAUAAAAGGGGUUUAUUGCCUAAAUAAGCUAUCCCAUAAUUUUUGGAUAAUUAAUUGGAGUUGAAAAACUAUUUUAUUUAAAUAGUUAUAUAGCCCUAAAGGCAUUUAUAGGGCAAAUGUAUUUUUAGAUAUUUUAUUUUGAGGGGAAAAUUACUCCCAAAGUUAUAUCAUGAUAGAACUUGAUUUUACAAAUUUUCUAGAAUUUAUUUGGACCAAUUUGGAGUCCAAAAUCAAAAGAUAUCAAAGAAAUAAGAAAAAAGGGAAAAAGAAAAGACUAAAAGAAAAAAAAAGGAAAGAGAACUGGACUGACCCAACUGGGCCGGCCCAGUCUCGCGCGCGCGCCCUCUCACCUGCC